rnacentral:rRNA from 1 species
UACGGAGAGUGCAAACGUUGUUCGGAUUCACUGGGCGUAAAGGGCACGUAGGCGGCUCGGCAAAUCGGUCGUGGAAUCCCGACGCUUACCGUCGGAACGGCGGCCGAAAAUACCGGGCUCGAGGGCGUGAGGGGUCACUGGAACUCCUGGUGAAGCGGUGAAAUGCGUAGAUAUCAGGAGGAACGCCGGAGGCGAAAGCGAGUGACUGGCGCGUUCCUGACGCUGAGGUGCGAAAGCUAGGGGGAGCAAACAGG